UACGUAGGGCGCAAGCGUUGUCCGGAAUUAUUGGGCGUAAAGAGCUCGUAGGCGGCUUGUCACGUCGGGUGUGAAAGCCCGGGGCUUAACCCCGGGUCUGCAUUCGAUACGGGCAGGCUAGAGUGUGGUAGGGGAGAUCGGAAUUCCUGGUGUAGCGGUGAAAUGCGCAGAUAUCAGGAGGAACACCGGUGGCGAAGGCGGAUCUCUGGGUCAUUACUGACGCUGAGGAGCGAAAGCGUGGGGAGCGAACAGG
rnacentral:rRNA from 1 species